rnacentral:rRNA from 1 species
UACGUAGGCGGAAAAUUAAGUCAGUGGUGAAAUCCUGCAGCUUAACUGUAGAACUGUCAUUGAUACUGGUUUUCUUGAAUAUAGUUGAGGUAGGCGGAAUGUGUAAUGUAGCGGUGAAAUGCUUAGAUAUUACACAGAACACCGAUUGCGAAGGCAGCUUACUAAGCUAUGAUUGACGCUGAGGUACGAAAGCGUGGGGAGCGAACAGGAUUAGAUACCCUGGUAGUC